GCAGAGAACAUUGAUUAAUUUUUUUAGUGAAUUCUCCUAAAGGUUCCGUUUUCAUCAAAUCGGUUGAUGCUUCUGAUUAUGCAAAGACUGGAGAGAAAAUAUUUCAGUUGCUUGAUCGAUUUGUGGAGCGUGUAGGAGAAGUAAAUGUUGUUCAAGUUGUUACGGAUAGUGCAAGUAACAAUGUGCUUGCUGGAAAAUUAUUAGAAGCAAAAAGGCCACACUUGUAUUGGACUCCUUGUGCUGCUCACUGCGUCAACUUAAUCUUAGAAGAUAUUGGGAAAUUGCCUGAUUUUAAAGCAACAUUGAAGAAAACAAUGAGUGUGAAUGCUUACAUUUAUGUUCACCCCGACAUGGUAAAUAUGUUAAGGCAAUUCACAAGAUAAAAAGAGCUUUGUCGGGCGAAUGUCACAAGAUUUGCUACUGCUUUUCUUACUCUUGAAAGGAUGCAUGAAGCAAAAUUUAAGAAAAAUAUUCAUUUCAAAGGAUUGGACAGAGAGUAAAUGGGCAAAAGAAGCGGCGGGGAAGAAGG